UACCUGGUUGAUCCUGCCAGUAGUCAUAUGCUUGUCUCAAAGAUUAAGCCAUGCAUGUCUAAGUAUAAAUCGUUUAUACAGGUGAAACUGCGAAUGGCUCAUUAAAUCAGUUAUAAUUUAUUUGAUAGUACCUUACUACUUGGAUAACCGUGGUAAUUCUAGAGCUAAUACAUGCUAAAACCUCCGACUUCUGGAAGGGGGUGUAUUUAUUAGAUAAAAAACCAAUAUCGGGCAACCGAUUCCCUUGGUGAUUCAUAAUAACUUUUCGAAUCGUAUGACUUUACGUCGACGAUGAAUCAUUCAAAUUUCUGCCCUAUCAACUUUC
rnacentral:ncRNA from 1 species